rnacentral:rRNA from 1 species
GAUGAACGCUGGCGGCGUGCCUAAUACAUGCAAGUCGAGCGAAUGGAUUAAGAGCUUGCUCUUAUGAAGUUAGCGGCGGACGGGUGAGUAACACGUGGGUAACCUGCCCAUAAGACUGGGAUAACUCCGGGAAACCGGGGCUAAUACCGGAUAAUAUUUUGAACUGCAUGGUUCAAAAUUGAAAGGCGGCUUCGGCUGUCACUUAUGGAUGGACCCGCGUCGCAUUAGCUAGUUGGUGAGGUAACGGCUCACCAAGGCAACGAUGCGUAGCCGACCUGGGAGGGUGAUCGGCCACACUGGGAAUGAGACACGGCCCAGACGCCUACGGGAGGCAGCAGUAGGGAAUCUUCCGCAAUGGACGAAAGUCUGACGGAGAAACGCCGCGUGAGUGAUGAAGGCUUUCGGGUCGUAAAACUCUGUUGUUAGGGAAGAACAAGUGCUAGUUGAAUAAGCUGGCACCUUGACGGUACCUAACCAGAAAGCCACGGCUAACUACGUGCCAGCCGCCGCCGUAA